UACGGAGGGUGCAAGCGUUAUCCGGAUUCACUGGGUUUAAAGGGUGUGUAGGCGGGUAUUUAAGUCAGUGGUGAAAUCUCCGAGCUCAACUCGGAAACUGCCAUUGAUACUAUUUAUCUUGAAUAUUGUUGAGGUAGGCGGAAUAUGUCAUGUAGCGGUGAAAUGCUUAGAUAUGACAUAGAACACCGAUUGCGAAGGCAGCUUGCUAAACAAUUAUUGACGCUGAGGCACGAAAGCGUGGGAUCAAACAGG
rnacentral:rRNA from 1 species